AAAAAGUAUCUGUUACUGGAUACCUAGUGUCUCGCACACUGAGAGCUAUUUAGGUCCGAGCUAUUUAGCUCAAUAUUUUCUGUCGAUUGUAUGAGACGCUAAAUAAAGCUGGUGUUUGUUCCGUCAGUGUUUAAAAAAAUUCUUUUUCAGCUUUUUUUGUAUCAUUUAUACGUGCCAGCUUGCACCCCAUGUUUACAACACUGUGUAGGUGUUGACAUUUAUCCAAGGUAGAAUAGAGGCGGCAUCCGUACUUUUCUUUCCCAUGAAUCUGUGUUAUAGGGACAUAUAUCAAUACAGCUGACGUUUCAAUGGAACAAGCAAUAAUCAACCCAACAUGUCAACAGAACUUCCAACCUUAACCAUAGCUUGCAGUCAACUUUUCAUUUCUUAAAUUUGUCUAUCAUAUUACAACCUGACACACAUUCAACCUGACUCACAUUCUAUCUUAGAGCACAGUUACAGCAGACUGAAAAUGUGAAAAAGUAUUUUUAAAUUCACAUACCCCUUUCAUAUUUCUCCUUAUUUCUCUCAAUAUAUGAAGAUUUGUUGAUAUAUCUGGGACUAUCACGAGAUGAGGGGCUGUCUCUCCCUGGUGAGCGCCGUCGUUCAUAUCGGUAUAUUUUGGCAUAAAAUUAAAAUUAUUUGAGACAUUAAAAGGGGACAAUUAUUACAUAAAAUUGUAACCUUAUUUAAAACUUUAAAUCUUUUAAAUAACAAACUACUUUUCAAAUACAGCUGUCUUUGUUUAAACGAACAAUGCCGUUGACGUAGUAAUGAUUCACGGGUGUGACAACAUGUGUUUCUCUCAAUUUGCACAUGCGCAGUCAGUGUCAGGUUGGAUAAUACAAAACGUGAGAGAACUAAACCAAAACAAAACAAAAAGGCUUUACCGUUUGUGCUAUUCUUUUGUAAAACUCACAUCGAAGAUAGCAAGAAAGAUAAGGACUUAUAACUGUGUAGGUUUUGGUAGUUGAUCUCCUGUUGACCAACCUGGAUAUCUGACAUGAUGAGGUA
rnacentral:lncRNA from 1 species